UGAGGAAUAUUGCGCAAUGGAGGCAACUCUGACGCAGCCAUGCCGCGUGCAGGAAGAAGGCGCUACGCGUUGUAAACUGCUUUUAUCCGGGAAGAAACCCCUCCACGUGUGGAGGGUUGACGGUACCGGAGGAAUAAGCACCGGCUAACUUCGUGCCAGCAGCCGCGGUAAUACGUAGGGGGCGAGCGUUGUCCGGAUUCAUUGGGCGUAAAGAGCUCGUAGGCGGCUCAGCAAGUCGGGUGUGAAAACUCCAGGCUCAACCUGGAGACGCCACCCGAUACUGCUGUGGCUAGAGUCCAGUAGGGGAGCGUGGAAUUCCCGGUGUAGCGGUGAAAUGCGCAGAUAUCGGGAGGAACACCAGCGGCGAAGGCGGCGCUCUGGGCUGGAACUGACGUUGAGGCUCGAAAGCGUGGGGGAGCAAACAGGAUUAGAUGCCC
rnacentral:rRNA from 1 species